CUCUUAUCAAGAGUAGCUGAGGGACUGGCCCUAUGAAGCUCGGCAACCUCCUUUUUUUUAAGGAAGGUGCUAAAUCCUGCAAACGAUAAUCGUUUGAAAGAUAAGAG
rnacentral:ncRNA from 1 species